rnacentral:rRNA from 1 species
UACAGAGGGUGCUAGCGUUGUUCGGAAUUAUUGGGCGUAAAGGGCGCGUAGGCGGCCCUGUGUGUCGGGUGUGAAAGCCCACCUCUUAAAGGUGGAAUUGCAUUCGAAACUACAGGGCUGGAGUGUCGGAGAGGAUGGCGGAAUUCCUGGUGUAGAGGUGAAAUUCGUAGAUAUGGGGAGGAACACCGGUGGCGAAGGCGGCCACCUGGACGGUCACUGACGCUGAGACGCGAAAGCGUGGGUAGCAAACAGG